rnacentral:lncRNA from 1 species
AAAAUUUUAAAUUGAUACAUUUAGCCUCCUUACGCUAGGAUUUUGUUUCUAUUCCACCCUUCUUAUAGUUUAUUAUACCGAAAAUUUAUUCAAAAUUAACAAAAAUAUAUUUAAAAAAAUCUUUUCUUUCUAAUAGAACAAAUAAAAAUAAUUUAGUCAUUUCUGUCACGCCCCUGAUUACUUAUUUUUCCGGACACGCUAACAGGCCCGCCGUAUACAUAGAAAUUUUUUCUGUAUACGAAGCGAAACUGUACCUAUACUUGUAAUCAUACAACACUACAACCAGUAGUAUAGAGCUGCUAAAAUAAAAACAUAUAUAAUAACAAAGGUUAACUAUACAUACAUAACAUCCAAGUAUACAAAAUUACUCGCUCCAGCGAGAUACAAAUAUCAGUAUAUAUAAGAACCAAAACUACAACUACCUGUAGCUGGUGCUCCUCUAGCUCUGUAACUCGUCGGGAAGAGCUCUAACUCGCAACACCCUUUCCACGAUCGGUCUCCACCACAGCAGCAGCCGAAGAAGAUGGCUCUGCAAAAGAUCCACAACUUGGCGUGAGAACUACUGCAAAAAGAAAUAGUCCUCAAUGGGUACCGCUAACUACCUCAACGGCUCACCCACUAAGUCUACAGAUGUAUGCUCAAUGAUAGUAAAUGAUCUGAAAACAAUCUAUAGCUAUAUACCACUAUACUAUCAUAAUCCAACACUAACUAUCUGUAAAAUAAUACAAUCUCUGACCUAAUCUCACUAGGGACUGUGAACACAACCGUCCCGCCUGUCGAAGCUACACUAACUGCCACCGCGCUAGAUCGUUAGUGGAGAGCAAGUCCAAACAGGACAAACUGAUAUCAACGCAAAAGCACUAAGCCCGACUCCGGAGUGGCACUCGUGGGCGCUAUCCAACCGACUAUGCAAGCGUAUCUCUGCCGAGCUCAAUCAGGCUCUCACAGGCUAUGGUCAAAAUAAACAAGGUCUAACAACCAAACUCACGUGCUCUCGACACAAUCUGAUGCAAAGGCAGUAAACUGGGUCCACCGUCAACCACAACGGCACCCAACAGUGCAGAAUAGUCUAAACACUGCUAUAAAAAUAAGCUUGACAUCUCAGCACGAGCGUAAAUGUAUUCUACACUAAUUAGGGUAUCCACCGCCCACAAACUGUGACGAUACAAACAAACAACGGCUACUAGAGCUAAAUCUGGUAGUUUUAACAUAUGACGGUAUAGAAUCGGCAGUUUUCUCGUAAGUCAAUUCCAAAUCCAACAUGUAUAAUUUAACUAAUAUUUUAAGCUUCAAUUCAAAUUUAGAAAUACAGUAAACCAACGAAUCGAGCAACAAAAAUAUGCUAUACAAAACGGCGAAUACAUGUCGACAACAACUAAACUUAGGAGGAAUUCCGUGUAAUUCGGUAAGCAUAACAUUAACCCACCUUAAAAGCUAAUCCACGACAGUGAGAAGUCGAUAGAAGAAAAAAUUCCGUGCUCGCCCGGCCUCCAAUGGCGCUACCAUGACGCACACACUCGACUCGCUCGCUCGCUCGCCUCGCUCGCUCGUAACAACGAACCCAAGUUCUCCUCUGCUAAUUAAUUAGCUCAAAACUUGGCAAUAAAAAACAUCAAAAAGAGAGGAUAAGGAUGGGGGAGCACGUGGACUCCACCGUCUAAUUAAACAAAAUUAAUUAAACAAAAUUGCCCACAAGCCCCUAUAUAACUAGGUAUUCAACUUUAGUCCUUCACAAUAUAAAUCUUGAUUUUUAAAGUCUGUUUUUACGUCUAUUUUGCGCAAAACGUCUCCAACUCAAUCAAGCAUAAAUUUAUACUGUAACCUUAUCAAUUUGCUAACGUUCAGUAUAUCACAAUUUCGCUCUCUCUCCAUUACAUCGUAACUCUUUAAAAAUAUUUCUAAAAUAUUAAAUGGAUAUAUAAACUAUAGAUCUUUUU